rnacentral:rRNA from 1 species
UACAGGGGGGGGCAAGCGUUGUUCGGAAUUACUGGGCGUAAAGGGCUCGUAGGCGGCCAACUAAGUCACACGUGAAAUCCCCAGCUUAACCUGGGAACUGCGUGUGAUACUGGACGGCUUGAAUUCGGGAGAGGGAUGCAGAAUUCCAGGUGUAGCGGUGAAAUGCGUAGAUAUCUGGAGGAACACCGGUGGCGAAGGCGGCAUCCUGGACCGGCAUUGACGCUGAGGCGCGAAAGCCAGGGGAGCAAAGCGGG